UUCGUUUAGUCAUAGAUUUAUGUAAAUCAAAAGCAAAAUUCAUCCCCUUCAAGCAUUACUUAAGUUUCUUUCCAUUUCUCUACCAGUGAAGAUAGCUAGUCAUUUACAUUAUUGUAUUUUAAACCUAUUUGCUCCAUAGCAAACCGAACAAUCAAGAAACAAUAUUUUAAAAUCCGAAGCACAUAACAAGGCGAAAGAUAAAAUGAAGUAAUAAAUAUACAGUCAAACAAAAUCAAGGACAGUGAUUCUAUAACUCAAAUUUUAAGAAGAAAACGAACCGAAAAAUAGAAUAAAAUUUAGGUCGCUGCAGUGAAGCUAGAUGACCCUAAAAUUUGAAGUAGGAUAUCAGCAACGAGCGAAAAUCAAUAAGCACACCAAUUAUAAGACUUUCCAGGUGAGGACCUCUUAAUCGGCCUGCUGAUAUCUUCAAAAUGCCAACAGACUCGCACCAAAGGAGAAGGGCAAGUGGGUACAAAAUUCUAUAUUUUCGACGGCUAAAGCAACACAAUCUGCUAAAAGAUGUCCCACAAAAACACUGAUCUGACACAAUAAUUUUUAUAGAAAACUCUAACAGGCAAAAAUGUGAUCACGAUGAAGAUUUAUGUAGUUGCCAAUUGCCACCGACUAACGAACUGAGGGGUUUUUCUUUUUCAAAAAUUUGAGCUCCUGAUUGUGACAAGAGACGGGAAAAAAGAGCAUUUAUAAUCCCAUCUCAAAGUNNNNN
rnacentral:lncRNA from 1 species